UGUUAAAAAUUCCAUUCAUUUAUAUUGUUAAAAACUGACAUAGUUGACGAAAUAACCAGAUGGUUACACCCAAAUAGUUACACCUAAUGUGCCAAGUGUAACUUAUGUUCAUGUAUAGAAACCAGUUUUUAACAGUAAAAUAGAUAUAAUUUUUAAUA
rnacentral:pre_miRNA from 1 species